rnacentral:lncRNA from 10 species
AAGGAAGGAAGGAAGGAAGGAAGGAAGGGUGGUUGGGUUAGGGUUAUAUCAUAGUUCUGUGUUAAAUACGCCUAUGUUUUGGCCUGUCACUCAAUAAUGGUGGGGAUUAAACAGAAGCUAGUUCUAAAGCUUUAUAGUCUCUUCAGUUGUACAUCUGAAAAACAUUGAAUUACGUAAAGUCAUUCAGUCCAAAUUUGAGCCUCAGAGCUGAACUUACAUGGGUCCAGUUUAAACCUGUGAAGUGGACAGAAGGAUAUUUCUAUCUAAGUCAACAGAGCAGCACUUCUUACCUCAUACCAUGGUGGGGAAAGCUGAGGAAAAAACAAAUUGUACCAAUUCACGCUAUGGACAGUCCUAUAAGACUGUAAGGACUUGGACAUGAGCUCAGGUCCCUGGCCAUGGAGAACUCCCAAGAUAUACCUACAGUGGCUCAUUAGAGGCAGGCUUCAGCAGUCUAGGUUCUCAUUUUGCCAACUUCAAGGGGAUGGUGAUCUCACACAGAAUGAAAGGUCACUGAAAUGGACACGUUAUUUAAUCCCCUGUCUGCUCAAGGCUAGCUUUAAAUUGACCUGAGAACUAAUAUCACAGCAGUGGCAAUUCCUGUUUCUUGGAUUACAUGGUAAUCCAUAAAAAUUUUAAAAAUUAAAUGUCUACUGGAAGCUCUACUGCUACGACUAAGACCAAUAUCCACAAUGCCUGCCCUCUUCUGAAAGAGUUUUCAGGUGAGGUGUCGGGUGUUUCCAGUCUGUGCUCACUUGGAGCUGGCACACGCAGAGAGAGAUCAGAAGAUGCUGUUAGUCUGGGCAGACUGUUGGAAGUAGGUUUGCAGCAAGUAGCUGCAGCUGCAAAGUGCAUCUCUGGGGUAUGGAGGGCUGAAGAGAAGGAGGGGAUGCUAGUGGUCAGCAACAACAGGUGAAGUGACACCCUGGAUCAUCAGGAAGGGAAUACUUCAUAACAAGGGGAUGAGACCAUCAGGAGCUGGAAGGAUAAGUAGUCUCCUUCCUCUCCCUCCAACAGUCUCA